CCCCGGGUCCGCGCUCGCCGAAGACACCUUAGAACUCUGUCUGAAGAUUGUAGUCUGAGAUUAAAUAUAAAUUAUUUAAAACUUUCAACAACGGAUCUCUUGGUUCCGGCAUCGAUGAAGAACGCAGCGAAAUGCGAUACGUAAUGUGAAUUGCAGAAUUCAGUGAAUCAUCGAGUCUUUGAACGCACAUUGCGCCCUCUGGUAUUCCGGAGGGCAUGCCUGUCCGAGCGUCAUUGCUGCCCUCAAGCACGGCUUGUGUGUUGGGCUCCGUCCUCCUUCCGGGGGACGGGCCCGAAAGGCAGCGGCGGCACCGCGUCCGGUCCUCAAGCGUAUGGGGCUUUGUCACCCGCUUUGUAGGACUGGCCGGCGCCUGCCGAAUCCCAAACUUUUUUCCAGGUUGACCUCGGAUCAGGUAGGGAUACCCGCUGAACUUAAGCAUAUCAAUA
rnacentral:rRNA from 1 species